GACGAACCGUGCAAACGUUGUUCGGAAUCACUGGGCUUAAAGGGCGCGUAGGCGGGUUGCCAAGUCCGGGGUGAAAGCCCCCAGCUCAACUGGGGAAGUGCCUUGGAUACUGGUGAUCUUGAGGGAGGUAGGGGCAUGCGGAACUUCCGGUGGAGCGGUGAAAUGCGUAGAUAUCGGAAGGAACGCCGGUGGCGAAAGCGGCGUGCUGGACCGUCUUCUGACGCUGAGGUGCGAAAGCCAGGGGAGCAAACGGG
rnacentral:rRNA from 1 species